AUUCAGCGGCGGACGGGUGAGUAAUGCCUAGGAAUCUGCCUGGUAGUGGGGGACAACGUCUCGAAAGGGACGCUAAUACCGCAUACGUCCUACGGGAGAAAGCAGGGGACCUUCGGGCCUUGCGCUAUCAGAUGAGCCUAGGUCGGAUUAGCUAGUUGGUGAGGUAAUGGCUCACCAAGGCGACGAUCCGUAACUGGUCUGAGAGGAUGAUCAGUCACACUGGAACUGAGACACGGUCCAGACUCCUACGGGAGGCAGCAGUGGGGAAUAUUGGACAAUGGGCGAAAGCCUGAUCCAGCCAUGCCGCGUGUGUGAAGAAGGUCUUCGGAUUGUAAAGCACUUUAAGUUGGGAGGAAGGGCAUUAACCUAAUACGUUAGUGUUUUGACGUUACCGACAGAAUAAGCACCGGCUAACUCUGUGCCAGCAGCCGCGGUAAUACAGAGGGUGCAAGCGUUAAUCGGAAUUACUGGGCGUAAAGCGCGCGUAGGUGGUUUGUUAAGUUGGAUGUGAAAUCCCCGGGCUCAACCUGGGAACUGCAUUCAAAACUGACAAGCUAGAGUAUGGUAGAGGGUGGUGGAAUUUCCUGUGUAGCGGUGAAAUGCGUAGAUAUAGGAAGGAACACCAGUGGCGAAGGCGACCACCUGGACUGAUACUGACACU
rnacentral:rRNA from 1 species